CAAUAGCGUAUAUUAAAGUUGUUGCAGUUAAAACGCUCGUAGUCGGAUUUCGGGGCGGGUCCGCCGGUCUGCCGAUGGGUACGCACUGGCGGGCGCGUCCUUCCUUCCGGAGACUGGCCCUACUCUUAGCUGAGCGGGGUCGGGAAUCGGAUCGUUUACUUUGAAAAAAUCAGAGUGUUUCAAGCAGGCAGCUCGCUCUUGCAUGGAUUAGCAUGGGAUAAUGAAAUAGGACUUUGGUGCUAUUUUGCUGGUUUCGAACACCGAAGUAAUGAUUAACAGGGACAGUCAGGGGCACUCGUAUUCCGCCGAGAGAGGUGAAAUUCUCAGACCAGCGGAAGACGAACCACUGCGAAAGCAUUUGCCAGGGAUGUUUNCACUGA
rnacentral:rRNA from 1 species